UUUUAAAUUCCCUUUGAAAAAUUAAUUACAUAUCAACUAAACAGAGGAUAUUAUUGAAAUAACUGCAAUAUCUUUUUAAAAAUGUGUCCUUUUUUAUUUGUUAUGACUUUUGGUGUUCAGGAAUCACCACAGAAACCAUACUAACACUGAUCUCAGUUAAACAAGAAUACUUUAUUGAACAUGCAUCUCAAGAAUGAUUGAUCUGGGGGAGCCAUUUUGGCUCCCUGAUCCCACCUAGACUAGUCUGCACAGGUGAGAGUGUGGACUACAGAAGCUAAAAGCUUCGGGGACAGGCAGGAACCACAGAGAUUCUGAGGCAGACCCCAUUUCGGGCUCCAGACAUCUGGGCACCUUCCCUGCCAGAGGAGAAGUGUCCACCCCUCUCAGGAGGAUUUUGCCAGAGCAUCUGGGGGAGCCAUCUUGGAUCCUGGAUCCUGCAGACACUAGUCUGCACAGGUUAGAGUGUGGAUUACAGAAGCUAACAGCUUCUGGAAUAGGCCCUGUUUCAGGCCUUCAUCUUCUGCUAGGAGGCAGGUCCAAACACCAGAUAUCUGUGCACCUUCCAAGCAAGAGGAGAGCUUGACUGCAGAGAGUGCUCUAACCACUGAAACUCAGUAGAGAACUAGUCUCUCAGGUCUGCUGAUAGAGGCUAAGAGAACCACAAGAGGAAGAAGCACUAACCAGAGACAACUAUAACAACUAGCUGCAGAGAUUACCAGAUGGUGAAAGGCAAGCGUAAGAAUCUUACUAACAGAAAGUAAGACCACUCAUCAGAACCCAGCACUCCCACCUCAGCCAAUCCUGGGCUCCCCAACACACCCAAAAAUCUGGACCUGUAUUUAAAAGCAUAUCUCAUGAUGAUUGUAGAGGACAUCAAGAAGGACUUUAAUAACUCACUGCAUAUGUAUCAAAAGAUGGCCUAGUUGGCCAUCACUGGAAAGAGAGGCCCGUUGGAUAUAAAACUUUAUAUGCCCCAGCACAGGGGAAUGCCUGGGCCAAAAAGUGGGAGUGGCUGUGUAGGGGAGUGAGUGGGUAUGGGAGACUUUUGGGAUAGCAUUGGAAAUGCAAAUGAGGAAAAUACCUAAUAAAAAUAUUCAAAAAAACCUUUAAUCUCCAGAUGUAAUUGUCAUCUCAGAGGCUUCAUGCUGAAUAAUCUCAAUUUUCAUUCUUUCUAAAUUCUGGCUGGCAGAAUCAACUCUGAAGUUUUGUUGAACACUUGUCUUCAAGGUACCUGACUCAAACAGGCGUCUCUAGGCUUCUCACUGAAUUGCUUCGCUUGGUCUCAAACUAAUUGUCUCAAUCUAUUCUAAUCCUCUGACUCCUUAUUCUCUGUCCCCUUCUGUCUUCACCUGAAACCUAUAUUUGUAAAACUCUCCCUGUAAAACUGCCCCCUCCCUCUCUGUCUCUGUUAAGUUGCCCCUCUAUUUUAUGUGUCUCAUGAGAGUUGAUAUGGUUCCUUUUGAUAUGUCACUUUGUCUGCCUCUCAAUUACACAUUGCUUUCAAACAUGGCUGCUUCCUUCUACAAACUAACCUUUCAUGCAUUGUUUGGGAUUAAAGGUGUGUUUUAAGGGCAUGUCUGUAUUCUGGCCACAGGGAUUAAAGGUAUCUAUAUUCCAGCUGGAUCACACAGAUUUAGUUCUUCGGAAAUGAUGCCUUGCCAAAGCAACCAUGUUGCUGGAUUAAAAUUCCUUUACAGUCCAUGGUCAUUGUUACCAUAGAAGACCAUGUUGAUCUCCUUGAUCUUUGGUGUUUGCAGGGGCCAUGUUGAUGUCCUUGCCUAUGCUGCCACUUAAGGCAAUGAUGGUGUCCAUGAUCUAUGCUGUGCCUAAGGGCCACUUUAUACCCAUAGUAUUGCCACUAGACACCAUGCUGAGAUGUGUGGCCUUGUGCUAAUGACAGAGAUUACGUGAAUGUCUGAGGUCUGUGUUAUUGACAGAAACUAUGUGGAUGUCCAUGAUCUCUUUGUAAUGCUCAAAUGACUUUAAAGGGCAAUUAAGCUACUUUUGCAGUGGUAAAUAUUUAGUUGUAAACCCAAGACAAGUUACUAAGGUGCCUUUUAACUUAUCUAAACAGACCUGGCCUCUAGGUUCUCCCAGCAUCCCACAGUACCUACAUGCUACAGGGUGUGGCUGGAAUGCCUUAUAUAAUUCAGACAUUUUUAUUGCCCACUAUUUUUGUAGAUUUGGUCUCCUAUCUGCUGUGCUUGGCUUCCCUCUCUCAUUUCUUUGGGAAUCCACAUAUGCCAUUACAAGGUGGCGCUGGCUACUGCUGGCCACCACUCAUAAGUUUGGGUAAACAACCAAUGUGUACAUAUGCAGUAAAGAUUUUUGCUGAGUCACUGCCUGGCCCGGGCAUGUUAAUGAGGUUCUGUGAGGGUCUGAGAGCAUAACCAAUCGGAUGUAGACAUGUAAAUGAGGUAGUAAAUGCAUAACCAAUCCAGGUGUGAGACACGCCUCUCCUAGGCCUAUAUAAGCAGCACCAGUUCUGGGCUCGGGGCCUUUUUGCCUCUGCAAUCAAGCUUUCCCAAUAAACGGUUGCAGAAGGAUCCUGUUGUGGCGUCUGCUUUGCUGGCGAGUCGGACACUCACAAAUUUCCACCCCUUCCUCCCUACAGAACCAUGACCACUCUGAAUUUUCCCAGAUGUGUCUACCUCUGGCUAUGCUCUCCAACAUAUCUACAAUAAACUUUUUCUCUACCAUACCAAGGAGCAGUCAUGUCCUUUCCUUUUCUGUUAUUUCUUUUUUUUUUCAUUCAAUAUUGAUGACUGAUGAGUCACAGUUGAGAAUGAUAGACAUAGGCUUCUGUGAGAAUCUCUUUCUCCAUCGCCCACCUCUAAAAAGAAACAGUCUAGAUAAGAAAUCAUUGAAGAGAACUCAUAAAAGUUGUUCUAAGUGUGCUGAAAUGUUGCUAUUCACAGUAUAUAGCUUCUAGCGGGGGCAGGGCUUUGGAAUGACUGAGUUUUCUGGUC
rnacentral:lncRNA from 1 species